AGCGAACGCUGGCGGCAGGCCUAACACAUGCAAGUCGAACGAACCUUUCGGGGUUAGUGGCGGACGGGUGAGUAACACGUGGGAACGUACCUUUAGGUUCGGAAUAACUCAGGGAAACUUGUGCUAAUACCGAAUGUGCCCUUCGGGGGAAAGAUUUAUCGCCUUUAGAGCGGCCCGCGUCUGAUUAGCUAGUUGGUUGAGGUAAUGGCUCACCAAGGCGACGAUCAGUAGCUGGUCUGAGAGGAUGAUCAGCCACAUUGGGACUGAGACACGGCCCAAACUCCUACGGGAGGCAGCAGUGGGGAAUCUUGCGCAAUGGGCGAAAGCCUGACGCAGCCAUGCCGCGUGAAUGAUGAAGGUCUUAGGAUUGUAAAAUUCUUUCACCGGGGACGAUAAUGACGGUACCCGGAGAAGAAGCCCCGGCUAACUUCGUG
rnacentral:rRNA from 1 species